rnacentral:lncRNA from 1 species
UGUUUGAGAGAAGGAAGGGAACACAUGAAGACAGAGCCUGUCCUUGGCCUCAUCUACAAAGCAACAGGUUGGGAGAUAACUCUCUUCAAUGUAGGGAAAAGAGAGUUUUCUACAUUCAGCAUCUGAAAUUGCAGAAUGAGAUGACAUGCGUUGUGGUUCAGGAAUGGCCCCACAAACUACUCAAACUCUGGUC